CGUACACUCCUGCGGGAGGCAGCAGUGGGGAAUAUUGCACAAUGGGCGCAAGCCUGAUGCAGCCAUGCCGCGUGUGUGAAGAAGGCCUUCGGGUUGUAAAGCACUUUCAGCGGGGAGGAAGGCGAUACGGUUAAUAACCGUGUUGAUUGACGUUACCCGCAGAAGAAGCACCGGCUAACUCCGUGCCAGCAGCCGCGGUAAUACGGAGGGUGCAAGCGUUAAUCGGAAUUACUGGGCGUAAAGCGCACGCAGGCGGUCUGUCAAGUCGGAUGUGAAAUCCCCGGGCUCAACCUGGGAACUGCAUUCGAAACUGGCAGGCUUGAGUCUUGUAGAGGGGGGUAGAAUUCCAGGUGUAGCGGUGAAAUGCGUAGAGAUCUGGAGGAAUACCGGUGGCGAAGGCGGCCCCCUGGACAAAGACUGACGCUCAGGUGCGAAAGCGUGGGGAGCAAACAGGAUUAGAUACCCCGGUAGUCCCAUG
rnacentral:rRNA from 1 species